rnacentral:antisense_RNA from 1 species
UAAGGCGGGUGCGGACGGCAAGGACGGCGUUUGCCGUGCCGAUUUCGUACGUGGUCGGUGUUCCAACCUUGCAGUCUCGUGCCCGCCAAU